GGCUCAUAAACUUUUAUAAGCAGAAAUUUCGUAGAAGAAAAUAAUUAUCAAAGAAAAUUUGUCACAAACGAUAGAGAAGCUUUGUUUCGGCCAAAGAAAAAAUAUUUAAAUUUUCCCCCAUAGAAAUAUGGCGUUUCGUUUGGUGCCUCAAAACGUUUGUUGGUAGCCUACAAGUAUACAAUUUUAAUAUUAAAUGAAACUACGUAUAAAACUAAAUGGAUCUGCAUGAAAAAGUCUAUAGGCUGCAAGAAGAAUAAGGAGAGCAAGAGCAAACAAUGCAACACUAUGUUAAUUUGUGCAUUGGAUCAAAAAAUGCACCACCACCACCACUUGUCUUUCCCAUCUUCCCAUUAGAGGAGAACAUGAAUUCAAUGACGGUCACUGAACCUGCCUUGUUGUUGUGGUAUUUAAGAGAAUCUCAAAAACCAACAACUACAACAUUGGGGAGGUUGUAAAUUUCAAUCAUAAUUUUUGGUUUACAAAAGAAAUCUAGAAUCACAAACGCAAUAACCAACACUCACACACACCAACACACACUCACACACCUACAUCUUAUGAUCUAGAUGGAGCAAUAGAGCAUCUAUCCAUAAAUAAGUUGGAGGUAUGCCUGUUUGUGUCAGGCUAUUUAUGUGACAACAUUUAAAUAAAAUAUAAAAUAAAUAA